UCAACCGUCGACGCGCUUCGGAAACUGGGGGACUUGAGGGCAGGAGAGGCGAGCGGAAUUCCCGGUGUAGCGGUGAAAUGCGUAGAGAUCGGGAAGAACACCAGUGGCGAAGGCGGCUCGCUGGACUGGCCCUGACGCUGACGCGCGAAAGCGUGGGGAGCGAACGGGAUUAGAUACCCCGGUAGUCCACGCCGUAAACGAUGGGCACUAGGUGUGGGAGGUAUCGACCCCUCCCGUGCCGGAGUUAACACACUAAGUGCCCCGCCUGGGGAGUACGGCCGCAAGGUUGAAACUCAAAGGGAUUGACGGGGGCCCGCACAAGCAGUGGAGCAUGUGGUUUAAUUCGACGCAACGCGAAGAACCUUACCCGGGCUUGACAUCCCCGGAACACCCGAGAGAUCGGGUGGCUCUACGGAGCCGGGAGACAGGUGCUGCAUGGUUGUCGUCAGCUCGUGUCGUGAGAUGUUGGGUUAAGUCCCGCAACGAGCGCAACCCUUGUCCCGUGUUACCAGCGUAAAGGCGGGGACUCACGGGAGACUGCCGGUGACAAACCGGAGGAAGGUGGGGAUGACGUCAAAUCAUCAUGGCCCUUAUGUCCGGGGCUACACACGUGCUACAAUGGCCGGCACAGCGGGAUGCGAAGGGGCGACCCGGAGCGAAUCCCUGAAAGCCGGUCCCAGUUCGGAUCGCAGGCUGAAACCCGCCUGCGUGAAGCCGGAAUUGCUAGUAAUCGCGGAUCAGCAUGCCGCGGUGAAUACGUUCCCGGGCCUUGUACACACCGCCCGUCACACCACGAGAGUCGGCAACACCCGAAGCCGGUGGAGCGAACCCGCAAGGGACGCAGCCGUCGAAGGUGGGGCGGAUGAUUGGGGUGAAGU
rnacentral:rRNA from 1 species